rnacentral:lncRNA from 1 species
UUCUUGGUAAACUGACUCGAUCUCUACUGGAAAUAUUUUCGAAGCUUGCCUGCAUGCCAAGUGUUCUUGAUCUCGGAUCCAUCUAAUGCUUUUAAACGAUAAGUCCCUGGCUUUGGUACUUCGAUCACCUCAUACGGCCCUUCUCAGUUCGGCAUUAUUCCUGUGUUUUGAGGCGUAGAUGCUUCGGAUUCUCUGAGGACAAAGUCUCCUACUUCGAAUCUGCGAAGUUUGAC